UGUGGAAAGGCUGCUUACUUUGGAUGG
rnacentral:piRNA from 1 species